UACGGGGGGGGCAAGCGUUGUUCGGAAUUACUGGGCGUAAAGGGCUCGUAGGCGGCCAACUAAGUCAGACGUGAAAUCCCUCGGCUUAACCGGGGAACUGCGUCUGAUACUGGAUGGCUUGAAUCCGGGAGAGGGAUGCGGAAUUCCAGGUGUAGCGGUGAAAUGCGUAGAUAUCUGGAGGAACACCGGUGGCGAAGGCGGCAUCCUGGACCGGCAUUGACGCUGAGACGCGAAAGCGUGGGGAGCGAACAGG
rnacentral:rRNA from 1 species